AUCAAGGGAAGAUAAGAUAUUGGAAUGGACUAGUGAGGCAAGGUAAUAUGAAAGAACUCAGAUGAAGAUGCUUAUAACUCAGAGGACGAAUUCUAUUGCGAUGUUUGCGAGGAGAAGAGACACAAAAGGGAGCCGGUUUAUUAUUGUGCAUCGUGCAAAUUUGUCGCUGAACUUAAGUGCGUCAUCCCAGCGGUGUUGCCAUUAAUUCCCAAGAGAGAACACAUUCAAGAAGAUGGUCCCGGCUCUUCUGAUGAUGACAGUGAUGAUGAUGAUCGCUCACCCUAUCGCAAAGCCUUAUACGAGCUCAUAGAAUUAGAGAAAAAGAAGAAUAAAGCCAAAAAGUCACCCUGGAAAAUUAGCAGAGCCUUGUAUCAGCUCAGAAAAUUAGAACAGAUGAAAAAUGAAUUAAAACAACUCCUGGAUGAUGUGACGACAGAGAUACAGGAAACAAGAAGUAGCAUUUACAAGAAAAAAGGAUAAUAUGUUGUAAUGA